rnacentral:rRNA from 1 species
GUAAUCACUUGUCCCCUAAAUAGGGACUAGUAUGAACGGCUAAAUGAGGGCCUAACUGUCUCCUGUGGCCAACCAAUGAAACUGAUCUCUCAGUACAAAAGCUGAGAUAAACCCAUAAGACGAGAAGACCCUGUGGAGCUUCAAAUCACUGCACUACAAUGACAUAAAACAGCCCACCAGGAACAACCACAACAUUCUAUAGUGCAAAUUUUAAGUUGGGGCGACUACGGAACAAAACACAACUUCCAUGAACCAGGACCCACGUCCACUAAAGGCCCACAAGCCAAAACUAUAUCAACCACACUGACCCAGCAAUGCUGACCGCCGAACCAAGUUACCCCAGGGAUAACAGCGCCAUCCUCUUUCAGAGUCCCUAUCGCCAAGAGGGUUUACGACCUCGAUGUUGGAUCAGGGCCCCCAGGUGGUGCAGCCGCUACCAAAGGUUCGUUUGUUCAACGAUUAAAGCCCUACGUGAUCU